rnacentral:lncRNA from 1 species
UCCCCUUCACAGAGGUGGGUGAGGAGGAGCCGGGGGCUGAGUGCGCCCUGAGCUGGACCUUGCCUGGCAGAGAGCACCGGGUGGAGGUGGCAGGACACCGGCAGCUCCUCGACCGGUUUGGUAGAGGCUCCUCAGGGACAGGGUGAGGGCUGUUCCUUGCCGUGGGGAAAAUGACAUUACAGGUUUGCAAGAGCUGGGCACUUUGUUGUG